UACGAAGGUGGCAAGCGUUGUUCGGAUUUACUGGGCGUAAAGGGAGCGUAGGUGGUUAGGUAAGCCCUCCGGGAAAUCUUCAGGCUUAACCUGAAAAGGUCGGGGGGGACUGCCUGGCUAGAGGACGGGAGAGGAGCGCGGAAUUCCCGGUGUAGCGGUGAAAUGCGUAGAGAUCGGGAGGAAGGCCGGUGGCGAAGGCGGCGCUCUGGAACGUUUCUGACACUGAGGCUCGAAAGCGUGGGGAGCAAACAGGG
rnacentral:rRNA from 1 species